rnacentral:misc_RNA from 1 species
GAUGAAGAACGUAGCGAAAUGCGAUACGUAAUGUGAAUUGCAGAAUUCAGUGAAUCAUCGAAUCUUUGAACGCACAUUGCGCCUGCCAGCACUCUGGCAGGCAUGCCUGUUCGAGCGUCAUUUCAACCAUCAAGCCCUAGGCUUGCGUUGGAGCCCUGCGGCUGCCGCAGGCCCCUAAAAGCAGUGGCGGGCUCGCUAUCACACCGAGUGCAGUAGAUUACUCUUCGCUCAGGGCGUGUGGCGGGUUCCAGCCGUGAAACCCCCUACUUCUCAAGGUUGAACUCGGAUCAGGUAGGAAUACCCGCUGAACUUAAGCAUAUCAAUAAGCGGAGGA